rnacentral:rRNA from 1 species
GGGCAACCUGCCCUUGAGACGGGGAUAACUCCGGGAAACCGGAGCUAAUACCGGAUAACACAUAUCUUCGCAUGAGGAUAUGUUAGAAGGUGGCUUUUAGCUACCACUCAAGGAUGGGCCCGCGGCGCAUUAGCUAGUUGGUGAGGUAACGGCUCACCAAGGCGACGAUGCGUAGCCGACCUGAGAGGGUGAUCGGCCACACUGGGACUGAGACACGGCCCAGACUCCUACGGGAGGCAGCAGUAGGGAAUCUUCCGCAAUGGACGAAAGUCUGACGGAGCAACGCCGCGUGAGUGAUGAAGGUUUUCGGAUCGUAAAGCUCUGUUGUUAGGGAAGAACAAGUACCUGUUAAAUAAGCAGGUACCUUGACGGUACCUAACCAGAAAGCCACGGCUAACUACGUGCCAGCAGCCGCGGUAAUACGUAGGUGGCAAGCGUUGUCCGGAAUUAUUGGGCGUAAAGCGCGCGCAGGCGGUUCCUUAAGUCUGAUGUGAAAGCCCACGGCUCAACCGUGGAGGGUCAUUGGAAACUGGGGAACUUGAGUGCAGAAGAGGAGAGCGGAAUUCCACGUGUAGCGGUGAAAUGCGUAGAGAUGUGGAGGAACACCAGUGGCGAAGGCGGCUCUCUGGUCUGUAACUGACGCUGAGGCGCG